rnacentral:rRNA from 1 species
CCUACGGGUGGCAGCAGUGGGAAUAUUGCACAAUGGGCGCAAGCCUGAUGCAGCCAUGCCGCGUGUGUGAAGAAGGCCUUCGGGUUGUAAAGCACUUUCAGCGGGGAGGAAGGCGUUAAGGUUAAUAACCUUGUCGAUUGACGUUACCCGCAGAAGAAGCACCGGCUAACUCCGUGCCAGCAGCCGCGGUAAUACGGAGGGUGCAAGCGUUAAUCGGAAUUACUGGGCGUAAAGCGCACGCAGGCGGUCUGUCAAGUCGGAUGUGAAAUCCCCGGGCUCAACCUGGGAACUGCAUUCGAAACUGGCAGGCUAGAGUCUUGUAGAGGGGGGUAGAAUUCCAGGUGUAGCGGUGAAAUGCGUAGAGAUCUGGAGGAAUACCGGUGGCGAAGGCGGCCCCCUGGACAAAGACUGACGCUCAGGUGCGAAAGCGUGGGGAGCAAACAGGAUUAGAUACCCUAGUAGUC